GUAUCAGAAGUGCGAAUGCUGACAUAAGUAACGAUAAAGCGGGUGAAAAGCCCGCUCGCCGGAAGACCAAGGGUUCCUGUCCAACGUUAAUCGGGGCAGGGGGAGUCGACCCCUAAGGCGAGGCCGAAAGGCGUAGUCGAUGGGAAACAGGUUAAUAUUCCUGUACUUGGUGUUACUGCGAAGGGGGGACGGAGAAGGCUAUGUUGGCCGGGCGACGGUUGUCCCGGUUUAAGCGUGUAGGCUGGUUUUCCAGGCAAAUCCGGAAAAUCAAGGCUGAGGCGUGAUGACGAGGCACUACGGUGCUGAAGCAACAAAUGCCCUGCUUCCAGGAAAAGCCUCUAAGCAUCAGGUAACAUCAAAUCGUACCCCAAACCGACACAGGUGGUCAGGUAGAGAAUACCAAGGCGCUUGAGAGAACUCGGGUGAAGGAACUAGGCAAAAUGGUGCCGUAACUUCGGGAGAAGGCACGCUGAUAUGUAGGUGAGGUCCCUCGCGGAUGGAGCUGAAAUCAGUCGAAGAUACCAG
rnacentral:rRNA from 1 species